GGGACCAUAGCUCAGUGGUAGAGCAGGGGACUCAUAAUCUCUUGGUCGCAGGUUCGAACCCUGCUGGUCCCA
rnacentral:tRNA from 1 species